UGUCGUCAUGGUUUGCCAGUGAUUGGAGACAAUGGUUCUAUCAUGGGGUAUGAAUUCAAGACAUUUGCAGAUGUGGAAGAUAUGGAUGGGGCUCUUGGGAAGGU
rnacentral:ribozyme from 1 species